CGUUAUGGCGGCUGUGCGUGGGAGACCCUCGGGUCUGCCGGGUGCGUGCGACCGGUUCGCCAACCUGCGUACAGCUGUCACCCAA
rnacentral:antisense_RNA from 1 species